rnacentral:rRNA from 1 species
AGCGGCGGACGGGUGAGUAAUGCCUAGGAAAUUGCCCUGAUGUGGGGGAUAACCAUUGGAAACGAUGGCUAAUACCGCAUGAUGCCUACGGGCCAAAGAGGGGGACCUUCGGGCCUCUCGCGUCAGGAUAUGCCUAGGUGGGAUUAGCUAGUUGGUGAGGUAAGGGCUCACCAAGGCGACGAUCCCUAGCUGGUCUGAGAGGAUGAUCAGCCACACUGGAACUGAGACACGGUCCAGACUCCUACGGGAGGCAGCAGUGGGGAAUAUUGCACAAUGGGCGCAAGCCUGAUGCAGCCAUGCCGCGUGUGUGAAGAAGGCCUUCGGGUUGUAAAGUACUUUCAGUCGUGAGGAAGGCGUUGUAGUUAAUAGCUGCAUCAUUUGACGUUAGCGACAGAAGAAGCACCGGCUAACUCCGUGCCAGCAGCCGCGGUAAUACGGAGGGUGCGAGCGUUAAUCGGAAUUACUGGGCGUAAAGCGCAUGCAGGUGGUUUGUUAAGUCAGAUGUGAAAGCCCGGGGCUCAACCUCGGAAUAGCAUUUGAAACUGGCAGACUAGAGUACUGUAGAGGGGGGUAGAAUUUCAGGUGUAGCGGUGAAAUGCGUAGAGAUCUGAAGGAAUACCGGUGGCGAAGGCGGCC